GAUGAACGCUAGCGGCAGGCUUAAUACAUGCAAGUCGAGGGACAGCACAGGUAGCAAUACUGGGUGGUAACCGGCAAACGGGUGCGGAACACGUACACAACCUUCCUUUAAGUGGGGGAUAGCCCAGAGAAAUUUGGAUUAAUACCCCGUAAUAUAGUUGAAUGGCAUCAUUUGAUUAUUAUAGCUACGGCACUUAAUGAUGGGUGUGCGGCUGAUUAGAUAGUUGGCGGGGUAACGGCCCACUAAGUCUACGAUCAGUAGCUGAUGUGAGAGCAUGAUCAGCCACACGGGCACUGAGACACGGGCCCGACUCCUACGGGAGGCAGCAGUAAGGAAUAUUGGUCAAUGGACGCAAGUCUGAACCAGCCAUGCCGCGUGAAGGAUUAAGGUCCUCUGGAUUGUAAACUUCUUUUAUUUGGGACGAAAAAGGGCCUUUCUAGGUCAACUGACGGUACCAGAUGAAUAAGCACCGGCUAACUCCGUGCCAGCCGCCGCAGUAAAAC
rnacentral:rRNA from 1 species